GUGUGAAAAAGUGAGGUGAGUGAUUUGCUUCGCUUGUUAUAUAAAGAAAUCUGAAGGAUCAAACACUAAGGUGUUGAAUUAAUUGACGAUGUUGCUAUUUCUUGUUCGUUGGUGGAGUUGUGUUUGUGCUACUAAAUUCAGGAGUUGUUAAUGCAUAGUAUUACCGAACUGUUGGAGACAAAAUCCUUCCAUUCAGCAAAAUUAUUGUCGAUUCUUUCGAACAUGGCAACUUCUCUACAAUUCAAUCUGCCAUUGAUUUUGUCCCUUCCAACAAUAAGUAUUGGGUUUCAAUCAAUGUCAAGGCUGGUAUUUACAGGGAGAAAGUGACGAUUCCAAGUGAUAAACCAUACAUAAUAUUGAAGGGAACUGGAAAGAAGAAAACGUGGGUUGAAUGGGGUGACCAUAAUACAACCGCUCAGAGCCCUACGUUCCAAUCCAUGGCUGAUAAUAUCGUCGUCAAAUCCAUCUCUUUUAGGGUAACUAACCAUUUAUAAUUAUUAUAUCAUUCUCUGCC